rnacentral:rRNA from 1 species
GACGAACGCUGGCGGCGUGCUUAACACAUGCAAGUCGAACGGAAAGGCCCUGCUUUUGUGGGGUGCUCGAGUGGCGAACGGGUGAGUAACACGUGAGUAACCUGCCCUUGACUUUGGGAUAACUUCAGGAAACUGGGGCUAAUACCGGAUAGGAGCUCCUGCUGCAUGGUGGGGGUUGGAAAGUUUCGGCGGUUGGGGAUGGACUCGCGGCUUAUCAGCUUGUUGGUGGGGUAGUGGCUUACCAAGGCUUUGACGGGUAGCCGGCCUGAGAGGGUGGCCGGCCACAUUGGGACUGAGAUACGGCCCAGACUCCUACGGGAGGCAGCAGUGGGGAAUAUUGCACAAUGGGCGGAAGCCGGAUGCAGCAACGCCGCGUGCGGGAUGACGGCCUUCGGGUUGUAAACCGCUUUCGCCUGUGACGAAGCGUGAGUGACGGUAAUGGGUAAAGAAGCACCGGCUAACUACGUG